rnacentral:rRNA from 1 species
UACGGGGGGGGUAAGCGUUGUUCGGAAUUACUGGGCGUAAAGGGCUCGUAGGCGGCCAACUAAGUCAUACGUGAAAUCCCUCAGCUUAACUGGGGAACUGCGUGUGAUACUGGAUGGCUUGGAUUUGGGAGAGGGAUGCGGAAUUCCAGGUGUAGCGGUGAAAUGCGCAGAUAUCGGGAAGAACACCCGUGGCGAAGGCGGCUCUCUGGGCCGAUACUGACACUGAGGAGCGAAAGCGUGGGGAGCGAACAGG